rnacentral:rRNA from 1 species
GACGAACGCUGGCGGCGUGCUUAACACAUGCAAGUCGAACGGAAAGGCCCUGCGUUUGUGGGGUGCUCGAUUGGCGAACGGGUGAGUAUCACGUGUGUAUCCUGCCCUUGUCUUUCUGGGAACUUCUCGAAACUGGGGCUAAUACCGGAUAGGAGCUCCUGCUCCAUGGGGGGGGUUGGUAAGUUUCGGCGGUUGGGGAUGGUCUCGCUGCUUAUCAGCUUGAUUGGGGGGUAGUGGCUUACCAAGGUUUUGACGGGUAGCCGGCCUGAGAGGGUGAACGGCCACAUGGGGACUACGAUACGGACCAGACUGCUACGGGAGGCAGCAGUGGGGAAUAUUGCACAAUGGGCGGAAGCGUGAUGCAGCAACGCCGCGUGCGGGAUGACGGCCUUCGGGUUGUAAACCGCUUUCGCAUGUGACGAAGCGUGCGUGACGGUAAUGGGUAAAGAAGCACCGGCUAACUACGUG